rnacentral:rRNA from 1 species
UACGAGGGGGGCAAGCGUUGUUCGGAAUUAUUGGGCGUAAAGGGCUCGUAGGCGGUUUGUCGCGUCGGGAGUGAAAACUCAGGGCUUAACCCUGAGCCUGCUUCCGAUACGGGCAGACUAGAGGUAUGCAGGGGAGAACGGAAUUCCUGGUGUAGCGGUGAAAUGCGCAGAUAUCAGGAGGAACACCGGUGGCGAAGGCGGUUCUCUGGGCAUUACCUGACGCUGAGGAGCGAAAGUGUGGGGGGCGAACAGG